UACGUAGGGUCCGAGCGUUGUCCGGAAUUAUUGGGCGUAAAGAGCUCGUAGGCGGUCUGUCGCGUCGGCUGUGAAAACUCAGGGCUCAACCCUGAGCCUGCAGUCGAUACGGGCAGACUAGAGUUCGGUAGGGGAGACUGGAAUUCCUGGUGUAGCGGUGAAAUGCGCAGAUAUCAGGAGGAACACCGGUGGCGAAGGCGGGUCUCUGGGCCGAUACUGACGCUGAGGAGCGAAAGCGUGGGGAGCGAACAGG
rnacentral:rRNA from 1 species